rnacentral:rRNA from 1 species
UGCAAGUCGAACGGCAGCACGAGAGCUUGCUCUUGGUGGCGAGUGGCGAACGGGUGAGUAAUAUAUCGGAACGUAUCCAUGAUGGGGGAUAACUAAUCGAAAGGUUGGCUAAUACCGCAUACGCCCUACGGGGGAAAGCAGGGGAUCUUCGGACCUUGCGUUAAUGGAGCGGCUGAUAUCUGAUUAGCUAGUAGGUGAGGUAAAGGCUCACCUAGGCUUCGAUCAGUAGCUGGUCUGAGAGGACGACCAGCCACACUGGAACUGAGACACGGUCCAGACUCCUACGGGAGGCAGCAGUGGGGAAUUUUGGACAAUGGGCGCAAGCCUGAUCCAGCCAUUCCGCGUGAGUGAAGAAGGCCUUCGGGUUGUAAAGCUCUUUCGCAAGGGAAGAAACGUUACAGUCUAAUAAACUGUGAUAAUGACGGUACCUUGAUAAGAAGCACCGGCUAACUACGUGCCAGCAGCCGCGGUAAUACGUAGGGUGCGAGCGUUAAUCGGAAUUACUGGGCGUAAAGCGUGCGCAGGCGGUUUUGUAAGUCAGAUGUGAAAUCCCCGAGCUCAACUUGGGAACUGCGUUUGAAACUACAAGGCUAGAGUAUGGUAGAGGGGGGUAGAAUUCCACGUGUAGCAGUGAAAUGCGUAGAGAUGUGGAGGAAUACCAAUGGCGAAGGCAGCCCCCUGGACUAAUACUGACGCUCAUGCACGAAAGCGUGGGGAGCAAACAGGAUUAGAUACCCUGGUAGUCCACGCCCUAAACGAUGUCUACUAGUUGUUGGGAGAGUAAAAUCUCUUAGUAACGCAGCUAACGCGUGAAGUAGACCGCCUGGGGAGUACGGUCGCAAGAUUAAAACUCAAA